rnacentral:rRNA from 1 species
UACGAAGGGGGCUAGCGUUGCUCGGAAUCACUGGGCGUAAAGCGCACGUGGGCGGGUUGCCAAGUCGGGGGUGAAAUCCUGGAGCUCAGCUCCAGAACUGCCUUCGAUACUGGCGACCUUGGAGUCCGGGAGAGGUGAGUGGAACUGCGAGUGUAGAGGUGAAAUUCGUAGAUAUUCGCAAGAACACCAUUGGCGAAGGCGGCUCACUGGCCCGGUACUGACGCUGAGGUGCUAAAGCGUGGGGAGCAAACAGG